CCUACGGGAGGCAGCAGUGAGGAAUAUUGGUCAAUGGCCGGAAGGCUGAACCAGCCAUGCCGCGUGAAGGUCAGUGCCCUAUGGGCGUUAAACUUCUUUUGUGCGGGAGCAAUAAUGGUCACGUGUGGCCAGACGAGAGUACCGUACGAAUAAGCAUCGGCUAACUCCGUUCCAGCAGCCGCGGUAAUACGGGGGAUGCAAGCGUUAUCCGGAUUUAUUGGGGUUAAAGGGUGCGUAGGCUGUGAGGUAAGUCAGUGGUGAAAUGCCCCCGCUCAACGGGGUGAAGUGCCAUUGAUACUGCCUUGCUGGAAGGCGGAUGCCGUGGGAGGAAUGUGUGGUGUAGCGGUGAAAUGCAUAGAUAUCACACAGAACACCGAUUGCGAAGGCAUCUCACGAAGCCGCGAUUGACGCUGAUGCACGAAAGCGUGGGUAUCAAACAGGAUUAGAUACCCCGGUAGUC
rnacentral:rRNA from 1 species